GGAACGUGUUCCUUUUUGUAUGUACCAUAUGAAUAAGCAUCGGCUAACUCCGUGCCAGCAGCCGCGGUAAUACGGAGGAUGCGAGCGUUAUCCGGAUUUAUUGGGUUUAAAGGGUGCGUAGGUGGUUAAUUAAGUCAGCGGUGAAAGUUUGUGGCUCAACCAUAAAAUUGCCGUUGAAACUGGUUGACUUGAGUAUAUUUGAGGUAGGCGGAAUGCGUGGUGUAGCGGUGAAAUGCAUAGAUAUCACGCAGAACUCCGAUUGCGAAGGCAGCUUACUAAACUAUAACUGACACUGAAGCACGAAAGCGUGGGGAUCAAACAGGAUUAGAUACCCUGGUAGUCCACGCAGUAAACGAUGAUUACUAGCUGUUUGCGAUACACAGUAA
rnacentral:rRNA from 1 species